rnacentral:rRNA from 1 species
CUACGGGUUGCUGCAGUGAGGAAUAUUGCACAAUGGGGGGAACCCUGAUGCAGCAACGCCGCGUGGAGGAUGACGCAUUUCGGUGUGUAAACUCCUUUUAUAUGUCAAGAAAAUGACGGUAGCAUAUGAAUAAGCACUGGCUAACUCCGUGCCAGCAGCCGCGGUAAUACGGAGGGUGCAAGCGUUACUCGGAAUCACUGGGCGUAAGGGACGCGUAGGCGGGUUGGAAAGUCAGGUGUGAAAUCCUACAGCUUAACUGUAGAACUGCACUUGAAACUUCUAAUCUAGAGUAUGGGAGAGGGAGAUGGAAUUAGUGGUGUAGGGGUAAAAUCCGUAGAUAUCACUAGGAAUACCUAAAGCGAAGGCGAUCUCCUGGAACAUUACUGACACUAAGGCGUGAAAGCGUGGGGAGCAAACAGGAUUAGAUACCCGGGUAGUC